AGACGACGACGCAUCAUUAAAAUAUUUUCCACUCUUCGGUUUGUUGUUUGGUGUUAAAUCAAAAACCACUUGAACGAAAUAAAAUCUUUCUCACAGUCCGCGGUCGCACAAUGGCCAAAUGGUAUGGGUAUUUGUAUUCCAGGGAGUGGGGAGGGGGGAGGGGGGACUACAAACAAAUUAUGAGAACGUUCGGGAUCAAGACGAAGAAUGUUUUCUUUUUCUCGUUUCUUCGGUGGGUUCAGUUCAGUUCUCUGGGCUCUUUUGUUGUCCGACGAUGUCGUUGUUGGUAAAUUGAUGACAACAACAUCAGAAAUGCUGAAGCGUGCGCUUCAAAAAUGUAUCUGCAUAGUCGCCCGGAGAUACAAAAGCAAGCCCCGAGAUACAUUUCGGUGAGCUGACCAUUUUGCGUAUCCGUGACGAUUUCUCGUUUACCUGUGCGACACAGACCCAAAAAGCAGACAAUAAAUCAAUAAUCAAGCCGCCGAGAGAGAGCAGUCGAAUGGGUAGAUGGGUAGAUGUUCAGAUGGAUGGAUGGAUGGGUGGACGGAUUGGUUGGAAUCAUUUCGGAUAGAGAGGCGAGUCUGGGGCCUUAUCAUCAUUAUUCAAAGCGAGCCACCAACGCCGCCGACACCGCCACCGCCGACACAUGGAAAUGGGAAUAGAAAAAUAAUAAUAAUAACGAGAACAACAAACAGAGACCGAGGGAAAACAAAACACAGAACCAAACCGAACAAAACGAGUUCCUAGAGUUUCUAAAACCCAUAAAACGACGACGAGUUUUGAUUUGAUUUUCGAGAUCCAAUCGACUGGCAUAGAACACAUGUACGGUGCAGGAAGAAAGAGGAGUGAGACAGCGGUCAGUGGCAGCCCACGCCCGCGUUAUGAUUUUGUGGCCAUUUUAUAACUAACAACAUUCCAGCGGCGCCGACAACUGAGCCAGCGUCCCCAGUUGAAGUCCCCAUCCGAAAAUCCCAUCCCAGUUUUCAGACCCUGUCCACGGGACCACACACAUCGAUAUCGAUGGUGAUGGUGAUGGUUUAGCCGAUGAUGAUGACCGCUCUUUGCCGCAGGGAGGAGUUGGGGCGAAGUGCACCGGGAACGAUGUCUGGUGACAGAAGCGGCAACGGGAGCAGAAUCGAAAGUUCGAGGAGGAGGAUGUCCAGGACCAGAGGACCGAUCGAAACCUGUUGGGGUGAUACCAAAGGACGGAAGCCCAUUCCCUUUCCCCCUAACUCAUAAUUUUUUAUACCCCUGCAGAAGGUUUUA